rnacentral:rRNA from 1 species
UACGGAGGGUGCGAGCGUUGUCCGGAAUCACUGGGCGUAAAGGGCGCGUAGGCGGCCCGUCAAGCGUGUGGUGAAAGCCCGGGGCUCAACCCCGGGUCGGCCGUGCGGACUGGCGGGCUCGAGCACUGUAGGGGCGGGUGGAAUUCCGGGUGUAGUGGUGAAAUGCGUAGAGAUCCGGAGGAACACCAGUGGCGAAGGCGGGUCUCUGGGCCGAUACUGACGCUGAGGAGCGAAAGCGUGGGGAGCGAACAGG